UACAGAGGUGGCAAGCGUUGUUCGGAAUUACUGGGCGUAAAGGGCGCGUAGGCGGUUCGUUAAGUCCUGUGUGAAAUCCCCCGGCUCAACUGGGGAACUGCACAGGAAACUAGCGGGCUUGAGUUCGGGAGAGGGAAGCGGAAUUCCGGGUGUAGAGGUGAAAUUCGUAGAUAUUCGGAGGAACACCAGUGGCGAAGGCGGCUCACUGGCUCGAUACUGACGCUGAGGUGCGAAAGCGUGGGGAGCAAACAGG
rnacentral:rRNA from 1 species